rnacentral:rRNA from 1 species
UCAAGUUUUCAAGGGCGCAUGGUGGAUGCCUUGGCAUCAGGAGCCGAAGAAGGACGUGGGAAUCUGCGAUAAGCCUGGAGGAGUCGAUAACCGGACUUUGAUUCCAGGAUUUCCGAAUGGGGAAACCCCGCACGGCGUCAUGUCGUGUGACCCGUAGCUGAACACAUAGGCUACGUGGAGGGAACGCGGGGAAGUGAAACAUCUCAGUACCCGCAGGAAGAGAAAACAACAGUGAUUCCGUUAGUAGUGGCGAGCGAAAGCGGAUGGGGCUAAACCGAUCCAUGUGUGAUAGCCGGCGGGCGUUGCAUGGGCGGGGUCGUGGGACCAGUCAUUCCAGUUCUGCCGGACUGGAGGAGUGAGGUGCGGGUGCAUAGGCGAAUCGGUUUGAAAGCCGGACCAUAGACGGUGUUAGUCCCGUAGCCGUAAUGUUCUCCGCCGCUCUGUAGUGGUAUCCCAAGUAGCACGGGGCCCGAGAAAUCCCGUGUGAAUCUGCCAGGACCACCUGGUAAGCCUGAAUACUUCCUGAUGACCGAUAGCGGACAAGUACCGUGAGGGAAAGGUGAAAAGUACCCCGGGAGGGGAGUGAAAUAGUACCUGAAACCAUGUGCCUACAAUCCGUCGGAGCCACCUUGUUGUGGUGACGGCGUGCCUUUUGAAGAAUGAGCCUGCGAGUUAGUGCCGUGUCGCGAGGUUAACCCGUGUGGGGAAGCCGUAGCGAAAGCGAGUCUGAACAGGGCGUUCAGUGGCGCGGUCUAGACCCGAAGCGAAGUGAUCUACCCAUGGCCAGGUUGAAGCGUGUGUAAGAGCGCGUGGAGGACCGAACCCACUUCAGUUGAAAAUGGAGGGGAUGAGCUGUGGGUAGGGGUGAAAGGCCAAUCAAACUUCGUGAUAGCUGGUUCUCCCCGAAAUGCAUUUAGGUGCAGCGUUGCGUGUUUCUUACCGGAGGUAGAGCGACUGGAUGGCUAAUGGGCCCUACAAGGUUACUGACGUCAGCCAAACUCCGAAUGCCGGUAAGUGAGAGCGCAGCAGUGAGACUGUGGGGGAUAAGCUUCAUGGUCGAGAGGGAAACAGCCCAGAACGCCAACUAAGGCCCCUAAGCGUGUGCUAAGUGGAAAAGGAUGUGGAGUUGCGAAGACAACCAGGAGGUUGGCUCAGAAGCAGCCAUCCUUGAAAGAGUGCGUAAUAGCUCACUGGUCAAGUGAUUCCGCGCCGACAAUGUAGCGGGGCUCAAGCACACCGCCGAAGUUGCGUCAUCCAGGUAUAUAGGUAGGCCUUCGUGGUCCAGCCGCCUGGGUGGGUAGGGGAGCGUCGUGCCGGCAGUGAAGCCACGGUGUGAACCAGUGGUGGAGACGGCACGAGUGAGAAUGCAGGCAUGAGUAGCGAAAGACGGGUGAGAAACCCGUCCGCCGAAUGAUCAAGGGUUCCAGGGUCAAGCUAAUCUGCCCUGGGUGAGUCGGGACCUAAGGCGAGGCCGACAGGCGUAGUCGAUGGACAACGGGUUGAUAUUCCCGUACCGGUGAAGAACCGUCCCUACUGAACUGGCGAUGCUAACCGCCCCGAGCACCCAUCAUCUUCCCUUCGGGGAAGGUACCGGGUGCAAGGCGCGGGACCCGAGCCAGGGAGGUCAACGUAUUAACAGGUGUGACGCAGGAAGGUAGCCGGGCCAGGCAAUGGAAUCGUCCUGGUCCAAGGGUGUAGGCCGAAUGGUAGGUAAAUCCGCCAUUCAUUCAUGGUUGAGACCCGAUAGGCGCCCACUUCGGUGGGUGAUCCGGUGAUCCUAUGCUGCCAAGAAAAGCAUCGACGUGAGGUUCAAGCCGCCCGUACCCCAAACCGACACAGGUGAUCAGGUAGAGAAUACUAAGGCGAUCGAGAGAAUCAUGGUUAAGGAACUCGGCAAAAUGCCCCCGUAACUUCGGGAGAAGGGGGGCCCCAACCUUGAACACCACUUGCUGGUGUGAGGGGAUCGGGGCCGCAGAGACCAGGGGGAAGCGACUGUUUACUAAAAACACAGGUCCGUGCGAAGUCGCAAGACGAUGUAUACGGACUGACUCCUGCCCGGUGCUGGAAGGUUAAGAGGACCGGUUAGCCCCUUGUGGGCGAAGCUGGGAAUUUAAGCCCCAGUAAACGGCGGUGGUAACUAUAACCAUCCUAAGGUAGCGAAAUUCCUUGUCGGGUAAGUUCCGACCUGCACGAAU